UACGUAGGGGGCAAGCGUUAUCCGGAUUUACUGGGUGUAAAGGGGGCGCAGACGGCAAUGCAAGCCAGGAGUGAAAGCCCGGGGCCCAACCCCGGGACUGCUCUUGGAACUGCAUGGCUGGAGUACAGGAGGGGCAGGCGGAAUUCCUAGUGUAGCGGUGAAAUGCGUAGAUAUAUGGAAGAACACCAGUGGCGAAAGCGGCUCUCUGGUCUGUAACUGACGCUGAGGUUCGAAAGCGUGGGUAGCAAACAGG
rnacentral:rRNA from 1 species